rnacentral:rRNA from 1 species
UGGGGAAUUUUGGACAAUGGGCGCAAGCCUGAUCCAGCAAUGCCGCGUGCAGGAUGAAGGCCUUCGGGUUGUAAACUGCUUUUGUACGGAGCGAAAAGGUCUGCCCUAAUACGGUGGGCUAAUGACGGUACCUGAAGAGUAAGCACCGGCUAACUACGUGCCAGCAGCCGCGGUAAUACGUAGGGUGCAAGCGUUAAUCGGAAUUACUGGGCGUAAAGCGUGCGCAGGCGGUUAUAUAAGACAGAUGUGAAAUCCCCGGGCUCAACCUGGGACCUGCAUUUGUGACUGUAUAGCUAGAGUACGGUAGAGGGGGAUGGAAUUCCGCGUGUAGCAGUGAAAUGCGUAGAUAUGCGGAGGAACACCGAUGGCGAAGGCAAUCCCCUGGACCUGUACUGACGCUCAUGCACGAAAGCGUGGGGAGCAAACA